UGACAGAGGAAACAUAUGCACGUGUAACAGAGAGUGAGAGAGAAGCUGCCAAACCGACCCAACUACAGACCCGAAAACCCGACCCGGGACCCGACACCUUGACCCGGCCAUAUCUCCCAUUUCUGGCCACCGUUUCGGCCGAGCUUGAUACCAAUCUGAAGCUUAGAAGCUGACCGCGUUCCUUGCCAUCCUCGCCGCCGAAAACCAACCGGAACGCCGGCGAUCGAAGCUUGAAAACCCGCGACUGUUUCGCUUUGCUCCGCCGGGAUUUUCGCCGGUUUUGGGUGACACCACCGGCUGUAUUUUGUUCCUCACGACUCCCUCUUCCAUUUCCGACCAUCCAUAGCCACCGGGUGUCACUGUUUUUCCGCCGGUCAAUUGUUGGAAUUCACGGCUGUCGAGCUAGAUUCCGGCGCCGUUGCCGCGCGUUGGAACUCACCGCCGGUACCAUUGAACUCAGCGUGAUUGGAACUUUCAUAUUUGAGCUUCCCGGCCAGCGUUGACCAAAUUCCGGUGACCGUUGACCGGCGAGGGCAUUUCGGUAAUUUCACACUAUAAGGGCAAUUUUGUAAUUUCUGAGCCUGUGGAUAUUUUAGUAAUUCCUGGAAUUGAGGAGUGGGUGUAAUUAUGAUUCCGAGGGUAAUUCGAUGAUUUACGAUUUCGAAGUAUUUUAAUGAUUUACGGACUCGAGGGUAUUUUAGUAAUUUUACCGACACGGGAGUUGUAAAUUAUGGAUAGAUGUUCGUUUCGAGUUUAUUGCAUAAAUUUAGUCGUAAUUCCGAUUUAUAAAAAAAUAAUUAUGUCAUUUCCUUGAUUUAGGAGGAUUCACGAGCGAGAACCGAUCGCGGACGUGGACGAUAACCGAGCGUGAACACCAUCACUGUGAGUGGAAUAUAGAAAACCUAUUUUCCUACUUAAUUAUGAUAUUAAAGCAUGUUUGUGAAAUAAGUAUUUUAAAUGUUCUGAUUUAAUGAUUUCCUCGAAAUGGAUUUUAUACACGCAUUGAUAUUAUAUUAAAAUGUUUUAUUAAUGAUUUUGCGUAUCGACUUUGAAUAAGCAUGAUAGUAUUUUAAAGAUGAAAAAAGUGGAUUCAAAUGUGGUAUGAUUUAAAGUAUGGUUAAAAUGUAUGUGAAUAUUAGUAUAAUGAUUAUUUUUGAAAUCAUUAGACAGUACCCUUACCCUCCAGAUACAAUGAUACAGAUGAGAUGAGAUAUAGGCUUUUGGGGCCGUCUGAACACACAUAGAGGUUUUGGGCCAUGUGUUUGGGCGCUUUUGCCUUUUGGGGGUAUAUACAUGCGGUAUGAUGAUUACAGAGAUACAUAUAUGAGAUAUAGACAUAUAUUGAGAUACAGAUGAUACGAAUGAGAUACAGGUCUUUGGGGCCCGACUGAGUACACACAGAGGCUUUGGGCCGUGUGCGUGGGCGCUUUUGUCCUUUGGGGACUAGAUUAUGCAUGCAUAGAUAUGAUGAGAUAUGAGAUGGUAUUUCCCUGUCUAUCCGUGUAGCUCCGGGGCGUGCGGUACCCAGAUAAUACGUCAUUGCCCAUCCGUUGAGGUCCAGAUAUGACGAGAUUAUUUUCCUGGAUACUUGUUUGGUGAUGAUUUUCAAAUUUGUGUAUUCUAUUUGAUAUUGUGAUAUGAUUUCUAUGGUUAUUGGGUACGAUAUUAUAUAUGUUUUUCAUGGUUAGUAAUAUGAUUUAAAUGUUAAAUGAUUUAUUACUGGUUUCUCGCAUAUGGUUUGAUAAAAUCGUGUUUGGAAAUGAUAUGAUUAUUUCUUUUAAAGUAAGAAUUAAUUUUCAAAAAUUACUAUCCAAUCACUGAUCUCACUGAGUUUUAAACUCACCCUGUUUUUAUUAUAUUUUUCUCCCCACGAGGAGGUUGCAGGUACACUAGACUGACUCAGCGACUGUAAAUAUAUUUUGAGUCUCGGCCACGUGAUGGUGUUAGAAGAUAAAAAUGUUUUUGUUAGGACAUCUUGGUUAUCUCGUUCUUUUGGGAUUGUAUAAUUUUGUUAUAUUAUUCUUUUGGGAUUAAGAAUAAAUUGAGAUAUUAUUAUUAGUUAUAAUAUUAUUUUUUAAGACUCUGGAGAUAUCUUGAGUAAAAUUCAGCAUUUUGGUUGAGGAUAUUGAUAAUUGGAAUUGUUGUAUAUUGAAUUAUAUUGAGAGUGUUAUAUUCA
rnacentral:lncRNA from 1 species